UCUGCGGGCCCUCGUCCCUCAUGGCUUGAAUUUGAGCUGCAGCACUCAGGAGUUCAUGUUGAGUUUGCUGCUCAGCUUGGAUUUGCAGGAGCCCUGGUGAGGCUGGACCUCAGGCUGGGCUGGGACUGCUGGUGAGCUGCCAGCAGAGACGAAUGCCAUCUGUCUUGGACCUGCAGGAGUACCCAGCCACACGGCUGACGUUUGUUUUUGUCUCUGAAGUCAGCAGCUGCAACCUGGAACGCAUCCAGGAAGGAGAUCCAUGGAACAAGAAGGAAGGGAAGAUACCAGCUGGGGACUGACAUUUGUGGUCUGGUAUAAUAAUGUCAUAUCAAAAUUCAUGCGAGAAGACUGGAUUUUGUUUUCCAUGGAUAAACAUAGAGGAAUGUUUGGGGGUCUUCGUUUUUGUCCUGCAAGAUCAAACUCUGCAAUCUCCACAGCAGAGCACUAUGAAUGCUGGUGAAACAUAUGCAGCAGAACUGAAAUGCUGACCCCAUUACAGUCUCUCGUACAAGUUCCAAGGACUCCUGUGGAGCCAGAUUGCAACAUUGGAACAGGAAAAAUAUACAGAUUUUCUAUGAGAUAUUCCUGGUUUUAACUGUCUGGGAACAUCACUAAAGGAAAAGAAAGGACCUAAAUAUAGCAUAUAGCUAUGCAAGCUUUCCUGUAAAUGUUUAUAUUGAUAUAGAAAAUAUAAUAAAAUUCCAAAAUUCAAUUUCAAGUAUUGAGGAAAAGAAAAUGUGAAAAAAGAGGAGAAACACCGUCCACCAGGAGCUGAAGAGAGGCAGCCUGCUAUUUCAUCCCAUGAGGUUUCCAGAAUCAAGUGCCAUUAAUAUUUCUACCUACAGGAAGAGAAGAAAAAACAAGCAAUUCUGUAUGUAUUGUUACUAAUGAAGGCUGGGUUCCUGCAGAUUUGCUGGUUGACUGUUAGCACUAAUGGAUGUGUUUGUCUAGGUAAUAGAGAGAUCUCAUAAAAUGGCUCACACAGCUAGCGUUUAACAUGUGAGCUACAACUUUUCCAUUUGUCAAGGCACUGAGAGUACGCUUUCUCUCCCUGCUACUCACUCAGCCCUCUGUGCUUAUGAAGCUUGAGGAACCCGAUUAUCUUUGAGUAUUUGCUCUUCUCCUGUCAGCUCUUGGUUGGAACAAGCCAAAGGCUUCAAAAGUUAUUAGAAGGACACAAGAAGACAGUGUGACUGCAUUAAGCCUUGUUCCCAUAGAAACAUAUCUAAAAACUGUAUUCAUCUUCAAAUGACAGGAGCUGAGAGCUGCAGGGGAUGGCUGCCCCUGCCCUGAAAGCCUGGUCGUGGGCAGGGUGACAUGCAGGAGCUGUUUGGUUUGUAUCUUCAUGUGUCUGAUCCUCUGUUUGAUUGGCAGGGGUAGAUGGGCACCAGGGAGAGAGACCCCCCGGUUGCCUCACUCUGGCUGCUGAAGCUGAGUAAGGUGGAAACCUUUUUUUUGGAAGAGGGACUGCUUGCCUGUACCCAGCGAAGGCAAGUGUUCAGCAGAGCCUCCUAGGGAGCAGGGCAGGUGGGUAAAGAGAUGAGGAGACUCCUGAGAAAAGCAGAUUCCUGGCCAGACUUCAGAGAGGAGAGAAAGACAGACUUUCCUAAUGGCCCAAAAGUCCCUGGUAAGGCCAGAGGAUAGGAUCUGCCCUGCAAGGCCACAGGGGCAAGCCAGAGAUUUGUUUACAUCCUUUUUAUUCUGUCUUAUCUGGCAGAGUCGAGAUUCUCUAUGUGCAGAGGUUAUUGUUCAGGUAAAACCUAACCUUAGGGAGUUGAGACCCUUCUGGUGUUUUGGGGGGAGCUCGUGUUUGAUCCACCUCAAAUCUCUGGCUCACUCAAAGUCCCAUGGGAGGAAGACUUCACUUGCACUGGUUUGUGAUGAAGCAGCUGUCACAGAUCCAGUGGUUGCCAUAGUGGAGUUUCACUAUAGCAUGCAGCUUUGCUGGCUUAGCUCUGCUUUGAGCUGAGAGGGAAUGAUUUCAUCUUUUCUCCAAGACAAGGGCUCUCUGCUCCUGGUACAUGCAUUCUGCAUGGGUAUCUCAUAGGCCUUACCUCCUCUCACUGGGUUUUGGGGGAUUUUUCUCACAGUUCUUUGAGGGAUACGAGGUAGAAACUUGCAAAAAUGAAUACGCUUUAUGGAAACUCAAGUUGAACUUGCAUAUUUCCUCAAAGCAUCUUGUUGAAAGUGAUAAUCAUGGUGGCCAAGUCAUUGUGUUGGGCAAGGCAGUACGUCACAGCAGAACAUUGCUGCCAGCUACCACCCCCGGGUUGCUGCCGCAGGGUGCUUUACAGGCCCCCAGGGAGCUACUGCAGCACCCGGGGAGGAAGGUACUGAUCAUCGCUGUAUGGAGGCACCUUCCUAGCAUCACUUUUGCUCAGGACACCACUGACUGAGUUUGUGGAAAGGUGUCAGCGAGGGUAAGGAAUUGUCCUGCCUUAGCUAGCUGUGUCACACUGACAAUUAUGCAUCCACGGUCCUCCCAAAUUAUUUUGCCAUGCCAAGGACAAUACAUCCUAAAGCCUCUUUAUUUGUUGCUCGUACCAUGGAUGUCCUUCAAACUACUGACCACCUGCAUGUGCUAGGUUACUGAGCAGAGAGGGGAUGUGAUGCUGUUUUGGGGGCAGGUCUUUGAUUCAGCCAACAAGACCCUGCUGGGUCUGCAAGAAAAGUGCUUUUUGGAAUACCUGUGCAGAGUUUUUCUUGGGCCAGGGCCAUUUUAUAAUAAAGCAUGGGUUGUGGUAGUGGGGAAGAAAGGGAAACAAAAAACAGACAAAAUCCCCUAAAGGAAUACCACAUUUUGGGCUAGCUUCAUUGCCUUUGCUGACUCUCUCUUUCAAAGUAGUUACUAAACCCUGCUGGGACCACAUCCUGCUCAGUAGACAUCCUCUUUUGACAUCUUCAGCAGAAUUUCUGUCCUUAAACAGACUGCACUUAACAUAAGUUGGCAUUCCUGCAUAAACCUAAGCUGACAUUCCUGUGUACUGUGGUCAUUUGGGCUCCUUUUGAAAUCGGUCAUUGUUCUUAAAGAACAGAGAAGCUGAAGCCUUGGAAACACAGAAAAGAGAUGCAGAAAGGUAACUAAAUUGAUAAUAGGAAAUCAUAUGGACCCAGAUCAUGGUUUGGAGUGAUUCUUGUUCAGAUUUUGAGUGUGAUUCUAUUAGAAAUAAUCCAUUUUUGUCCCGCUGGGACUAUGUUGUAUCAUGGUGAUGAUCCAAGCUGGCAGGGUUGAAACGCCAGCCAUUUUUACCUUUCUUACUCUCAGUAAUGCAUCAAAGAAGACAACAACGUAUUCUGUAUACAUAGGUGGAGAUGUGGCUAAGAGGUUAGGAAUUAGCUUUCCAGAAAAAGCCUGAUAAUGCUGAGCCAAGUAAAGAUAAUUCAGAAUGCAUAGGAUCUCAUUCAGUUAUUGCAGACUGAGAACUGUCUUUAGGGAAAAUAAAUACACUCUGCUCCUCAAUCAUUUAGAGUUGUUGGAGAAUUUUGUUUUAUUUUUAAAGUAACUUUCUCAAGCAUUGAUUGUCUUUUUUUGUCUGUGUCACUUGAACCUGGUAACUGCACAUUUACUUGGAUAAGACUAGCUAAGGGCAAUUAUUUCUUCUUUACACUGAAGUUCUUUUAACUUGUUUUUCGUUGGCUCCUUUGAAAUCCUGAGAUUUUUUGUAAGGUACCCAAGUACCUUUCUGCACAAAGGUUGCUUAUUCCUCAUUUAUCAAAUUUAUCUUCUCUUCUGUACUUCUGAAAUUGUGUAUAUACAUAUGUAGCCAUUUUAUAGACUUCAUACUUUUUUCGCUUGUCUCUUUUUUUCCUUCAUAUAAGUAUCCUGGGUUCACCAUAGUGCUCUUCACCUAAUGUGUGUUUUAACUACCCGAACAAGCUGCUUUGCAACUGAACAUCCUUUUUAAAGAUGCUUUUUUUUAAAUUAAUAUAGGAAAGGUCUGUCUACACUGACUUGAUAAAAUAGUGCCAAUCUCCUGAUUGCAUCCCCAACCAACCCAUGACACCAAAGCUGUUCUUCCCUCAUUUACUUCAGAUCUUACAAUCUCCGUCAGUGCUGUCGUUCUUGCCUCCUGGUGUAAGCAUAGACCAGGUCUUUCAGGAGCUGGUUUGUGGUCCUGUCUCUUGCUCGGUGGGUUUUUAUUUCUGUUGAGGAGAUCGAAGUGGGGUGCUGUGGGCACCCAGAGCAGUGUGUUGCUGCUGGCCAGUUUGCACUGCUCCAAAAGCAGGGUUUCAAGGCAACUGCCAAAGGAGAAGGGCUUGUAGGCAAAACAAGGGGUGAGGCCACCUUUGAUGCAGAAAUCCAACAGCUUCAGGCCAUUGGUCUGUGCUUCUGCUAGAGGCUGAACUUCAUGUUGCAGAGAGUAUGGACUUCAGUUUCCCGUAACUAUGCCCACUAAGCUGUAGCUUUAGUACCAAAUCAUUCUGUGUGUCCCUCCUCUAUCCUGGACUCAUACACAACUUAAUAAACAUUCAAUAUCAAGAAAUGAAGGACUUGGUCUAAGACCUCCUUGCAUUCCAUUUACAU